GAUGAACGCUGGCGGCGUGCCUAAUACAUGCAAGUCGAGCGAACUGAUUAGAAGCUUGCUUCUAUGACGUUAGCGGCGGACGGGUGAGUAACACGUGGGCAACCUGCCCGUAAGACUGGGAUAACUUCGGGAAACCGAAGCUAAUACCGGAUAGGAUCUUCUCCUUCAUGGGAGAUGAUUGAAAGAUGGUUUCGGCUAUCACUUACAGAUGGGCCCGCGGUGCAUUAGCUAGUUGGGGAGGUAACGGCUCACCAAGGCAACGAUGAAUAGCCGAACUGAGAGGGUGAUCGGCCACACUGGGACUGAGACACGGCCCAGACUCCUACGGGAGGCAGCAGUAGGGAAUCUUCCGCAAUGGACGAAAGUCUGACGGAGCAACGCCGCGUGAGUGAUGAAGGCUUUCGGGUCGUAAAACUCUGUUGUUAGGGAAGAACAAGUACGAGAGUAACUGCUCGUACCUUGACGGUACCUAACCAGAAAGCCACGGCUAACUACGUGCCAGCAGCCGCCGUAAGAC
rnacentral:rRNA from 1 species